GUCUAAGUAUAAACGAUUUAAUCGUGAAACCGCGAAUGGCUCAUUAUAACAGCUAUAAUUUACUUGAUCUUGACACAAUCCUACUUGGAUAACUGUGGUAAUUCUAGAGCUAAUACAUGCAUUAAAGCUCCGACCGCGCGUCAAAAACGCGGGAAGAGUGCACUUAUUAGAACAAAACCAAGCGGCUUCGGCUGUUCUUCGGUUGACUCAUAGUAACUGAGCUGAUCGCAUGGUCUUGCACCGGCGACGUGUCUUUCAAGUAUCUGCCGUAUCAACUUUCGAUGGUAGUGUAUCUGACUACCAUGGUGAUCACGCGUAACGGAGAAUAAGGGUUCGGCUCCGGAGAGUUCGCCUGAGAAAUCGCGAACACAUCUAAGGAAGGCAGCAGGCGCGAAAAUUACCCACUCUCAGCACGAGGAGGUAGUGACGAAAAAUAACGAGACCGUUCUCUUUCGAGGCCGGUCAUCGGAAUGGGUACAAUUUAAACCCUUUAACGAGUAUCUAUGAGAGGGCAAGUCUGGUGCCAG
rnacentral:rRNA from 1 species